UUCGCAAUGCCCGAAAGGGUGACGAAGCGACGCCGCGUGUGGGAAGAAGGCCUUCGGGUUGUAAACCACUGUCGGGAGUUAAGAAAUGUAAGGGUGUUAAUAGCAUCCUUACUUGACUAAGGCUCCGGAGGAAGCCACGGCUAACUCCGUGCCAGCAGCCGCGGUAAUACAGAGGCGGCAAGCGUUGUUCGGAAUUAUUGGGCGUAAAGAGCACGUAGGCGGCCGUGUAAGUCGGUUGUGAAAGCCUUCCGCUUAACGGAAGAACAGCAGCCGAUACUGCAUAGCUUGAGUGCGGAAGGGGAGAGUGGAACUUCUGGUGGAGCGGUGAAAUGCGUAGAUAUCAGAAGGAACGCCGGCGGCGAAAGCGGCUCUCUGGUCCGUAUCUGACGCUGAGUGUGCGAAAGCUGGGGGAGCAAACGGGAUUAGAUACCCCGGUAGUCCCAGCCGUAAACGAUGGGCACUAAGUAGAGGGGUUUU
rnacentral:rRNA from 1 species